rfam:Schistosoma margrebowiei strain Zambia genome assembly, scaffold: SMRZ_scaffold0004932
AUCCAGCUGACGAAUCCUCAAUAUAAUGAAACGCGCGUCCUGGAU